rnacentral:rRNA from 1 species
UACGUAGGGGGCGAGCGUUGUCCGGAUUCAUUGGGCGUAAAGAGCUCGUAGGCGGUUCGGUAAGUCAGGUGUGAAAACUCCAGGCUCAACUUGGAGACGCCACCUGAUACUGACGUGACUAGAGUCCGGUAGGGGAGCAUGGAAUUCCUGGUGUAGCGGUGAAAUGCGCAGAUAUCAGGAGGAACACCAGCGGCGAAGGCGGUGCUCUGGGCCGGAACUGACGCUGAGGAGCGAAAGCGUGGGGAGCGAACAGG